AGGAAAUGGAAUGACUCGUCGACUGCCCCAGGCAUUUUCAGCAACAACAGCACCACCUGCAGGAUCUGCGGGGACAGGCUGAUUGAUCGGGAGCUGGAGUUCUGGAGGGGAUUCUGAGGAAGGGAACCGGGUCAUCAUCUCUUGACCUUUCAUCUUACAAAGGAGCAACGUGAGACUGAGAAAGGAACCCACAGUCACCACGGGCACUGGUUUCUCUUUUGGGGUUGGCUCUUGACCUUGGAGCUCCCCCAGAAGAUCAAGAGUGGCCAGCCUUGACCUGUUGAAGGAAUUGUCUGCCAAACCUAGAGGGGAAGCCACUGCAGCUCGGAGAAGAGGCUGCUCCUCUCACAGAUGGCAACCCCCUCCUCCAGCUUACCCGAGUCUCACCAUCGAAGGGCCCUUGGUUGACCAGAAGAAAAUGCUGUGUUUGUGUCUGCUGCUUACCUGUGCUCCAAAGCAAGGUCACCCUGCCUCUCAGUAGCUC